AACGAACGCUGGCGGCAGGCCUAACACAUGCAAGUCGAGCGCCCCGCCAGGGGAGCGGCGGACGGGUGAGUAACGCGUGGGAAUAUGCCCUUUGCUACGGAAUAGUCUCGGGAAACUGGGGGUAAUACCGUAUACGCCCUUUGGGGGAAAGAUUUAUCGGCGAAGGAUUAGCGCGCGUUGGAUUAGGUAGUUGGUGGGGUAAUGGCCUCCCAAGCCGAGGAUCCAUAGCUGGGUUGAGAGGAUGAGCAGACACACUGGGCCUGAGACACGGCCCAGACUACUACGGGAGGCAGCAAUGGGUAAUCUUAGACAAUGGGGUCAACCCUGAUCGAGCCAUGCCGGGUGAGUGAUGAAGGCCUUAGGGUUGUAAAGCACUUUCAGCUGGGAAGAUAAUGACGGUACCAGCAGAAGAAGCCCCGGCUAACUCCGUG
rnacentral:rRNA from 1 species